AGUUGCAAUCGUCUCAUUGUCAAUUCUGACAACAUGGAAGUCAUUGACACAAUGAAGAACAGAGGACUUUCUGCAGGAGCGGCGGCUGCAAUUUUUGAGGUUUGUUUUUUUAUGGCUUGCGAUUUUCCUCUUACUAGUUUCGAAAAUUGUAAUAGAGAAGCAAACAAAGUAGCUCAUGCGCUUGCUAGAAUAGCUAAAUGUUCCAUGACUAGGGAUUGGAUCGAGGAGCCCAUGGAAAAUAUUGUACCUCCUCUUAUAGACGAUCGAUGUAGCCAUUAUUUCUAA
rnacentral:rRNA from 1 species